rnacentral:misc_RNA from 1 species
GCCAUCAAUAUCCUUAACAGUGAAAUCGUAAAUACUCUUCUCCGUAGCCGCUCUAGCAGAAACAGCAGAAAAUUGAACUUUCGAGAACACUCCACGAGAAAUUGAGGACUGCAUAGGAAAAUUAUGGCAAAGAAAAGGCGAUUUGGAAGCAGCGAGCGAGGAUUUGACUGAAGGAAUCAAGUUAGCCGCCAUGGAAGGCCAAGAAGCAAGGGAAUAGCAGAAAGCUGUUGAAGUUUUGGAGCAGACAUUGAUAGGAGACGAGAAAGAGGCGGAGAAAGACAUGGAAGGUCUGCGAAUGCGGUGGAUUGGGAAUUGGAGGAUG